UUGUUUUUCAAAACUUGUCAUAUUUUAACAUCGAGCGCCAAUGGGUGAACAAGCACAACAAUGAGGCACAUGCUUGUUUCAUAACGCGUUUAUUCAUAUUCUGGCAUAUAUGUGUGUAUAUUCCUCCCUCUGGUGUUCAUACAUUUCUUUUGUUACCAGUUACAAGAAUUUCCUUAUACAUCAAUUCCCUUAAUGAUCAGUUUGAACAACAUAAGUUAUUUGACUUUGUUUUCAAAGCUGACGUUAUAAAACAGUUCCUUAAGAAGCGACUUGCACUUCUACAAAGCGUCAAACUGACUCGUUCAGCUUACUGAAGGUGACCAAGAUGGACAAAGUAAUGGCGAUUGGUUUUCUUUUCCUCUUUUGCGUCGUGUUCCUUAUGAUAGAAGGAAGUUCUGGGCUGGCUAUUAAUUGCCCUGGUCCAAUGCCUGCCUGUAACGGGAAGAGGUUUAAGAGAGGAAUCUGCCGCGCUGCUCGACGAUUCAACUGCGACCAACUCCUGCAAGACGAGAACGUGAACCCAAGAGUUCAGCAAACCGCUCCACAAUACUAACUUCUAAGCAUCAUGUAACCUCAAGGAGCCUCAAAUAAAAUGUAAACUCGUGUUA